rnacentral:rRNA from 1 species
AGAACGAACGCUGGCGGCAUGCCUAAUACAUGCAAGUCGAACGAAGGCUUCGGCCUUAGUGGCGCACGGGUGCGUAACGCGUGGGAAUCUGCCCCUUGGUUCGGAAUAACAGUUGGAAACGACUGCUAAUACCGGAUGAUGACGUAAGUCCAAAGAUUUAUCGCCCAGGGAUGAGCCCGCGUAGGAUUAGCUAGUGGUGAGGUAAAGGCUCACCAAGGCGACGAUCCUAGCUGGUCUGAGAGGAUGAUCAGCCACACUGGACUGAGACACGGCCCAGACUCCGUACGGGAGCAGCGAGGUAGGGAAUAGUGGACAAGUGGGACGAAAGCCUGACUCAGCAA